AGCUUUGCGCAGUGGCAGUAUCGUAGCCAAUGAGGUUUAUCCGAGGCGCGAUUAUUGCUAAUUGAAAACUUAAAAUGUUCAAAUUUUUACUUCUUAUAAUAAUAA
ensembl:snRNA U4 U4 spliceosomal RNA